rnacentral:rRNA from 1 species
UACAGAGGGUGCGAGCGUUGUCCGGAAUCACUGGGCGUAAAGGGCGCGUAGGUGGCCCGACAAGUCCGUGGUGAAAGCUCGACGCUCAACGUCGAGUCGGCCAUGGAUACUGUGGGGCUGGAGCACUGUAGAGGCUCAUGGAAUUCCGGGUGUAGCGGUGGAAUGCGUAGAGAUCCGGAAGAACACCGGUGGCGAAGGCGGUGAGCUGGGCAGUAGCUGACACUGAGGCGCGGACAGCGUGGGGAGCAAACAGG